rnacentral:rRNA from 1 species
GAUGAACGCUAGCGACAGGCCUAACACAUGCAAGUCGAGGGGCAGCACAUGAGUAGCAAUACGAUGGUGGCGACCGGCGCACGGGUGAGUAACACGUAUGCAACCUGCCUGUAAGAGGGGAAUAACCCGGAGAAAUUCGGACUAAUACCGCAUAAUACCACGAGACUGCAUGGUUUUGUGGUUAAACAUUUAUGGCUUACAGAUGGGCAUUCGUAUGAUUAGAUAGUUGGUAGGGUAACGGCCUACCAAGUCUACGAUCAUUAGGGGUUCUGAGAGGAAGGUCCCCCACACUGGUACUGAGACACGGACCAGACUCCUACGGGAGGCAGCAGUGAGGAAUAUUGGUCAAUGGGCGAGAGCCUGAACCAGCCAAGUCGCGUGAAGGAAGAAGGUUCUAUGGAUUGUAAACUUCUUUUGCAGGGGAAUAAAUGACGGUACGUGUACUGUUUUGUAUGUACCUUGCGAAUAAGGAUCGGCUAACUCCGUGCCAGCCGCCGCGGUAAAAC